ACAAGCAUCGUGUGCCGCUGGCUUUAAUCGACGCGGUAGCGGUAGCGUCAUGACGCUAGUUGCAUAAAAGAUUGUAAUAGUUUAGUUCAAUCGCUUUAUGUAUUUUAUGAAAGAACAAUGGGAGAAUUGGUGUUAUAAGUUAUUUGUCAUUACAACAGAACCUUUAAUAUGUGUCAUUAUUUUAAUAUCUAAUAGAAGACUCUUUCCAGGUGAUCUAUUAUGUGUCUGUAUAUGUGUGUGACAUUUAACGAUUCGGCGAUAUUUACAAAACACCUACUGCAAUGAUGGCAACGGAUCGUAUCGACGCUCCUCUGCGGUUUACUGUGAAGAAAGAAGAGGAUAUUUGCAAUGACAACGAGAGCGAUACCAAUAUGGAUGGCAUUAACAGCCUCUUAUCAAUGUCUUUGCCGUUACUUUCUAUAGAUAAUACUGUUAUACAUGAUGGAUCAUUGUCAUCCAGCAAUGAGUCUGCACACCUCACAGAAAUGGUUCGUGCUGUGUAUUUGUCAUAUCUUCACAAAUGUUUACUUAAUAAUUAUACAACUUGUUAUGAGAAGGACAAUGAAGAUAUACCAAAUGUUGAGGUAAAAAAAUGUGCAGACCAGAUGGAACUAAAUGCUAUCCAAUUGGCAUUAGAAGCCACUUUGUAUAGAAAAAGCAUGUUGAAAAUGAUUGCAGAUAUAAAAUCACACACUGCUAAGAAUAAAGUGUACAAAAAAUUAUUAGUAAUUUUAGAAACACCUAAGAACAAAAUUAAUGUUGCUGUACAAACAGAUGAUAAAUGGGUGGAUUCACAUGGAACGGAUAAUAUACAAAGCGUGUGUAUUACAUCAAACUCUGAGGAAAUGUUGCAAACAACAUCACCCAUUGUAAAUUCUAGUAGUUUUGAUGAAAAUGAAAAUGUCGCGCAAAAUUUUGAAGAUAAAAUGGAUCUACAAGAGACAAACGAAGAAGAUAUUGUAAAAGAAGUAUUUGAUGAUGCUAGUCAAAGAAGUGAGAAUAUGAAUAAUUCUCAAAUAAUAGUCGAUGCAUCCGUAAUCAGAAAUGAAAAUGAAAAUUCCCAAGAUUCGAUAUUACAGCAUAUGGAAGAUAUGUUUUGCGAAAGUGACGACAGCAGUGAUCUUACGACAUUAAUAGAGAAGUAUUCCGGUGUUAGUAGAGCUAAUGUUGACAAGGAAAUCAAUGAAAUAUAUUCAAGUGGCAAUACUACCACGGAUCCGAGUUAUCAUGAUACAUCGCAAAAUAAUAAAGUAUCGAAUAUAAUUAAUAAUGCAUCUAGUGCAGUGAAAAGAAGCACAAGCGAGGGUAAAGUUAGUUAUAGCCGCUAUAAGGAAUUGCGAAAUAAAGAAGCCAAUAUACCAAAGGAAUCCGACGAGAACGAAAUGACUGGUAUAAAAGACUUGAAACAGAGAGAGAGAAUAAAUGCUGUCUGGCUUGUGGAACGUGUACACCAAAUGUCGAAACUGAAAGCUAAAAUGACCGAAUUAUCAAUGACGAAUUAUCGAAAGCAUGGAAUGUUAAAGGAGACGUUCCAUCAACUAUUUGGAGAAUUCGAUGAAGAAGAGUUGAUGCCAGACUCGCCAAUCUGCAUUGAAGAACAUUUGUCGGCAUGUAAAGAAAGAAUAGCACCAUGGAUAGUGAAGUACUUAAUGCCUUUCUACAAAAAGAGAAGAAUUAAGAACCGACAACUUUUCAAAGUUGUUGCAAAGUACAUCGCAGAUAUGCUCAUUAUAAAAAAUACGUUUCCUGAACGAGAAUGUGUGAGCAAGUAUAUAUGUGAUUACUUCAAGAACAAGAAAUGUAUCAAAACCAAACAAGAUGUAUACCUCUAACUGGUUACUACUACAGCAUUAUUGAUUCUAUUGUGCAACGCAAGUCAGUAAAACAUAUUCUACACAUAUAAAAUCAAGAAGUCAUAUAUAUAACAAGGAGAUUCAUAAAGCAUCAAACAAGCUCCGAAGUUGCAUUUUUGUCAAGGCAGGCAUGAAAGUUGCGUAAUCGAUUACUUCUCUUUUCGUCUAAAACAUUGAUUCACUACAGAUUUGCACGACCUAUUCAGUAGAAAGAAUGCCGCACAGUAGAGACUGGAGAUGAUACGAGCUAGUCGUAUCAUGUACGCUUUCAUAUGUGUGUACACAAGUUUGGCGGAUAUAUAAAAUAGUUCUUUACAAUCAUAAAGGUUAGUUACUUAGCCUAGUGAUAACAUAGAUUAAUGAUAAUAAUAAUAAUAAAAAUAACAACAAGAUAAUAAUACAAUAAUAAAGAAGAAAGAAAACGUGACCACUAUUAGUCUACAAUGUAAUCAAUUUUCCUUGAGCAAAUUCACGGACGCAAGAGCCAUUGAGCGGAACAGUAGUUGCAAGCCAUUCUCUUUUAUUAUUUUUAUAUACAGCGAAAUCAAGAACUCUCUAUCGUGCCAAGCUGAUCAUGCAUCAAAGCGAUAUACAGGACGAUCUGUUAUUGAUGACAUAAGCAAAGUGAUUUCACUUGAACAAAAAUAAGCUGCAACCUAUUUUUUGGGAAACAUUAAGAGCAUUUUUAUUCAUAUAAAUAAAAUAUUUCAGUUCGUACUCUGGCAGCUUUAAAAUAAAUUUUUUUAUUUGCCGAUUUAUUUCAAGUGUUUGACAACACUUGUAGUGUUGUAAGAAAUAAUGCGAAAAAUAUCGUUAUUUAAUUAAUUCGCAAAAUUGACUUUUUCGACGACAACGAUUUACGUAACAAAUUUAUUAAAUAUUUUCCAUUCAUUUCUUCGUAAUAUCACCUCUUUGCCGAUUGCACCGCCAAUAAUGAACUCUACCGCUUAUACAGACAUGUUUUUGACUCAUGACUCAUGCUACUAUUCCAUCUAACGGCUCACAUAUCAAAUACGAUUGUUUGCUAUAUUACUGGAAUUAUAGCGCUGCAAAGGGUUCGUUUCACACGACAUGAUUUACGAAUGAUAACAUUUUUUUUAUUUUACUUAUCUCCUUUGUUAUAAACAGUAUCAUGAUAACAGUAGACAGAAUCAACCUACUAACAAGUAAGAAUGAUUUUGCCAAUUUACUCUAUGUACUUCUUUCCAUAUAAAGAUGCUUAGCUAUAUAUUAUUUAUACCAUAGAUUAGCAUAUUUGCGGAGUGAACUAAAGGUGUGUGUAUAUCCCCAAAUACGUGUUCUGAUCUGAUAAUCGUAGCAACUGGAAGUUCGCUUAGUUGUUGCAAAAAUAUCGAGGGACGUCCGUAACUUCCAAAUGAGAUGUCAAUACAAUCAAACGUGAUCUCACGAAUGUAUUAAAAGGCUUGGUGGAAAAGCUUCCUGUAGAAACAUGUGUAAACAUCGUUCGUUCUGUGCCAAAGGAUGUCCAGCUAUUCUGAAAUAGUUGCGCAAUAUAGACUGUCAGUAUCGUAGACCUUGUACGUCGUAGGUAUAAUUAACUCGUGAACGGUAGUGUCAACUCAACUGUUUCGACGAUUUGUUAAACUGUUAAAGUAACUGUCGAGUAAAUGGAUAUUCCUUUAUCCUUUUCAGCACUAAGACCUUCGAUGACGCGUAUACGUCGUCACUGUGGGUUUAAGGUUCCUAGCUCAUCGCCGCGGAACUUUUGAUUAAUGACGUCAGAAAAGUGAGAAAAUACGCGUUAAAAAUUCUUAAAAAACACGAUGAAAUAUAAAAGUCCAUCCAUAAAAUUAACACCUAUCCAUAAAAUCAUAUCAUAUCCAUAAAAUUAACACCUGCAUCUAUCAAGCAGACUAAAAUAGUCCAAAGAUUUCCCUUUUGUUUGAACAAUCAAUAAAUAACCGUAAAAUUAACGCGACACGCAAUCUUCUCUCAUAAUUUUGUUACGUCAAUUUAAAAAAAUUUUUAAUGGACUCAACUAUGUGUAUAUUUCUCGCUUCUGACGUCAUAAAUCAAGAUGGCCACGGCGAGGAUGUAUAUGCUCAAAAUUCUUAAAAUAGAUAUAUAUAUAUUAAAAAAAUGACAUUUGCAAUCGAUUAAGCGCAUCUCUCAAAUAUCCCGAACACUUUCCUUUUGCUCGAACAGUAAUAAAUAACAGUAAUAAAUAACUAAAAUUGACGCGACAAAAUAAUGAGGAAACGUAGGUUAAAAAGGAAGGUUAAUUUUAUGGUUAUUGAUUGUCAGAGCAAAGGAAAAGUUCAGAAUAUUUUAAGAAUGUGCUUAAAUCGAAUGCAAGUCGAGCGUCAUGUUUCGAAUUCGUAUCUUUUUGUUUUGAACUUCUACUUUGUAGAAAUUUUUGGCAUACACUUCUUCGCUCUUUUGACGUCAUAAAACAAGAUGGCCACGGCGAGGAGCCAGGAUUCUUAAUACACUAAUACAUACGCAUAUAUGAUUUCAUAGUGCAGAAAAGGAUAGAGGAGAUAUGAAACUUCUUAUAAAUGGCCAUGCCAUUUUGAGACAUCGAUUACACUCGCAUAUGUAUAUGCGAUAAGCUUACUUGUUAACAAAAACUUCCAAGCCUUUCCUUCGAUCUUCAAUAAAGUCUUCCUCGAAUAUGCCGUCAUCCCCGCGGAAAGGCAUUUGCCGUUUCCAGGCUUUUCCUGGUAAAGGUGGUACUACAAUCUAUAUAAUUUCAUAGAAGACAUAUGAUUAAGUAACAUUAUAUAUUAUAUAUUUGUACUGGAAUAAGCUAUAGGAGAAUUUAAUAAAGGUGUAUAAGCAAUUUUGUUAACACAA